AGCACACAACAGGUGGAGCCUGCGGUUUAAUCGGACUCAACGCCGGGAAAACUCACCAAUAGACAGCUGAAUGAUAGUCGGGCUGAAGACUCUACUUGACUAGCUGAGAGGAGGUGCAUGGCCGUCGUCAGUUCGUACUGUGAAGCAUCCUGUUAAGUCAGGCAACGAGCGAGACCCACGCCAACAGUUGCCAGCUCGUCCUCCGGGAUGGAGGGGACACUGUUGGGACCGCCUCUGCUAAAGAGGAGGAAGGAAUGGGGCAACGGUAGGUCAGCAUGCCCCGAAUUAUCUGGGCUACACGCGGGCUACAAUGGGUGGGACAAUGGGUAUCGGCACCGAAAGGUGAAGGCAAUCUCCUAAACCCAUCCUUAGUUCGGAUUGUGGGCUGCAACUCGCCCACAUGAAGCUGGAAUCUGUAGUAAUCGUGUUUCAAAAUAGCACGGUGAAUAUGUCCCUGCUCCUU
rnacentral:rRNA from 1 species